rnacentral:lncRNA from 1 species
AGGAUCAAUAAGAUCGUAUGUAACUGACAGAGAAUAACCAGUAAUUCAGUAAGAGAAAAUCUUUGAUUAAUAAUAAUUUUUAUGUAAACCGAUAUUCCUCAAUUGAGUAUUUCAAGCUCAGGAUGCCGACAAAGAUGACGCUGAGGAAGGAGAUCGAGGCCACUGUUUGUUCUACAUGCAACCAUGUCGUUGUUGUCGUGGUCUUACCUGUCGCAGAGGGAGAUGUGUACGUAUAAACGGAUAAUAUAUUAUGAAAGAGAUGAAUUUCUUCAGGUAAAGCGAGGAAAACACAUAUU